rnacentral:lncRNA from 1 species
CACUGGAUUAGCAGGGAAGGGCAUAGUGGUAGUUGAGGUCAGGGGCACUGGAGCCAGGUGGACAGGAUGGAGUUCAGGUUUAGCCAUUACCAGCCUGUCACCUCUGACAGGUUCCUUAGUCUCUUUGAUCCUUGUUUUUUUUUUUUGUUUAUUUGUUUUUUUCAUCUUUAAAAGAGGGACAAUGAGAUAUUCUCUAUGGGGCUGUUGGGGAGAUCAAAUGAGAUAACUCACAGGAGUGGCAGAAUGUCAUGCUGGCACCUCAUGGGCACAUCCUGCUGGUGGUCUUGUUCACAGCACUACUGGAGGACAAUCACAGAGGAACUCUUGUGAGGUAAAAUAGGAAUCCAAAGACCUGCAGGAUGAGGGGCUGUAUCUUCAUCAGGAUGAUUCGGGAGAGACCUCUUGGAAGCACCUGCCCUUGAAUGGUCUCCUCUGGGCCAGUGGGAGGAGGGGCAGAUGCUUUGUACCCUGGGCAGAGUCAUGUGAUGAGAAAAGCCAGGCAUGGGAAGUGUGGUGCCCCAGCAUUGCUGGCCUGGGAGGGUGUUGGAGCCCCCAGUGGGAGGAGAUCUGCCCCUGCUUUGCCCGCUGAUGCACACAGGGACUGGCCCUCUGGAGCCCUGGUAGGUGUGGAUGCUGCUGGGGAUCGGGUACCUGGUCAGAGCUGUGUGGGGAC